rnacentral:rRNA from 1 species
GAAUUCGCCCUUAGAGUUUGAUCCUGGCUCAGGACGAACGCUGGCGGCGCGCCUAACACAUGCAAGUCGAACGAGCGAGAGAGAGCUUGCUUUCUCGAGCGAGUGGCGAACGGGUGAGUAACGCGUGAGGAACCUGCCUCAAAGAGGGGGACAACAGUUGGAAACGACUGCUAAUACCGCAUAAGCCCACGGGUCGGCAUCGACCAGAGGGAAAAGGAGCAAUCCGCUUUGAGAUGGCCUCGCGUCCGAUUAGCUAGUUGGUGAGGUAACGGCCCACCAAGGCGACGAUCGGUAGCCGGACUGAGAGGUUGAACGGCCACAUUGGGACUGAGACACGGCCCAGACUCCUACGGGAGGCAGCAGUGGGGAAUAUUGCACAAUGGGGGAAACCCUGAUGCAGCGACGCCGCGUGGAGGAAGAAGGUCUUCGGAUUGUAAACUCCUGUUGUUGGGGAAGAUAAUGACGGUACCCAACAAGGAAGUGACGGCUAACUACGUGCCAGCAGCCGCGGUAAAACGUAGGUCACAAGCGUUGUCCGGAAUUACUGGGUGUAAAGGGAGCGCAGGCGGGAAGACAAGUUGGAAGUGAAAUCUAUGGGCUCAACCCAUAAACUGCUUUCAAAACUGUUUUUCUUGAGUAGUGCAGAGGUAGGCGGAAUUCCCGGUGUAGCGGUGGAAUGCGUAGAUAUCGGGAGGAACACCAGUGGCGAAGGCGGCCUACUGGGCACCAACUGACGCUGAGGCUCGAAAGUGUGGGUAGCAAACAGGAUUAGAUACCCUGGUAGUCCACACCGUAAACGAUGAUUACUAGGUGUUGGAGGAUUGACCCCUUCAGUGCCGCAGUUAACACAAUAAGUAAUCCACCUGGGGAGUACGACCGCAAGGUUGAAACUCAAAGGAAUUGACGGGGGCCCGCACAAGCAGUGGAGUAUGUGGUUUAAUUCGACGCAACGCGAAGAACCUUACCAAGUCUUGACAUCCCUUGACAGACAUAGAAAUAUGUAAUCUCUUCGGAGCAAGGAGACAGGUGGUGCAUGGUUGUCGUCAGCUCGUGUCGUGAGAUGUUGGGUUAAGUCCCGCAACGAGCGCAACCCUUAUGGUCAGUUACUACGCAAGAGGACUCUGGCCAGACUGCCGUUGACAAAACGGAGGAAGGUGGGGACGACGUCAAAUCAUCAUGCCCCUUAUGCCCUGGGCUGCACACGUGCUACAAUGGCCGGUACAGAGGGAUGCCACCCCGCGAGGGGGAGCGGAUCCCGGAAAGCCGGCCCCAGUUCGGAUUGGGGGCUGCAACCCGCCCCCAUGAAGUCGGAGUUGCUAGUAAUCGCGGAUCAGCAUGCCGCGGUGAAUGCGUUCCCGGGCCUUGCACACACCGCCCGUCA